rnacentral:tRNA from 1 species
UGCCGCGCCUGCGCCAGGCAGGCGAUGCCUGCGUCGGUCAGGCGGAGCACCUCGUGCCCGCCCGGCUCCGGCACCAGGCGCAGCAU